GAUGAACGCUAGCUACAGGCUUAACACAUGCAAGUCGAGGGGAAACGACAUCGAAAGCUUGCUUUUGAUGAGCGUCGACCGGCGCACGGGUGAGUAACGCGUAUCCAACCUGCCCAUCACUUGGGAAUAACCUUGCGAAAGUAAGACUAAUACCCAAUGAUAUCCCACGAAGGCAUCGGAAUGGGAUUAAAGAUUUAUCGGUGAUGGAUGGGGAUGCGUCUGAUUAGCUUGUUGGCGGGGUAACGGCCCACCAAGGCAACGAUCAGUAGGGGUUCUGAGAGGAAGGUCCCCCACAUGGGAACUGAGACACGGUCCAAACUCCUACGGGAGGCAGCAGUGAGGAAUAUUGGUCAAUGGGCGAGAGCCUGAACCAGCCAAGUAGCGUGCAGGAAGACGGCCCUAUGGGUUGUAAACUGCUUUUAUAAGGGAAUAAAGUGGGUCACGUGUGACUUUUUGCAUGUACCUUAUGAAUAAGGACCGGCUAAUUCCGUG
rnacentral:rRNA from 1 species